ACCUUAGAGAACAACUAAGUUUGUUCUUGGUAUAAGCUUUUGUGUGCAUGCACAGUUCUUCAGAUACCAUGUACACCAUGCACCAUCCACGUACACCAUGCACAUGAAAGCUUAUACCCAGAACAAACUUAGUUGGUCUCUAAGGU